AGUUUGAUCAUGGCUCAGAUUGAACGCUGGCGGCAUGCCUUACACAUGCAAGUCGAACGGCAGCACGGACUUCGGUCUGGUGGCGAGUGGCGAACGGGUGAGUAAUGUAUCGGAACGUACCUUUCAGUGGGGGAUAACGUAGCGAAAGUUACGCUAAUACCGCAUAUUCUGUGAGCAGGAAAGCAGGGGAUCGCAAGACCUUGCGCUGAUUGAGCGGCCGAUAUCAGAUUAGCUAGUUGGUGGGGUAAAGGCCUACCAAGGCUACGAUCUGUAGCGGGUCUGAGAGGAUGAUCCGCCACACUGGAACUGAGACACGGUCCAGACUCCUACGGGAGGCAGCAGUGGGGAAUUUUGGACAAUGGGGGCAACCCUGAUCCAGCCAUGCCGCGUGAGUGAAGAAGGCCUUCGGGUUGUAAAGCUCUUUCGGCCGGGAAGAAAUCGCAUGGGUGAAUACCCUGUGUGGAUGACGGUACCGGAACAAGAAGCACCGGCUAACUACGUG
rnacentral:rRNA from 1 species